UACGGGGGGAGCAAGCGUUGUUCGGAUUUACUGGGCGUAAAGGGCGCGUAGGCGGCGUGACAAGUCACUUGUGAAAUCUCCGGGCUUAACUCGGAACGGUCAAGUGAUACUGUCGUGCUAGAGUACAGAAGGGGCAACUGGAAUUCUCGGUGUAGCGGUGAAAUGCGUAGAUAUCGAGAGGAGCACCUGCGGCGAAGGCGGGUUGCUGGGCUGAUACUGACGCUGAGGCGCGAAAGCCAGGGGAGCGAACGGG
rnacentral:rRNA from 1 species